GUUGAAACACCGGUUCUCGUCCAAACAUAAAAGUUAAGCAACGUCCAGCCGGGUCAGUAAUUAAAUGGGUGACUACUUGGGAAUACAAGUUGCUA